CACGCCAUAAACGAUGAGUGCUAGGUGUUGGGGGUCAAACCUCGGUGCCGCAGUUAACGCAUUAAGUAAUCCACCUGGGGAGUACGGCCGCAAGGUUAAAACUCAAAGGAAUUGACGGGGGCCCGCACAAGCAGUGGAGUAUGUGGUUUAAUUCGAAGCAACGCGAAGAACCUUACCAGGGCUUGACAUCCUCGGACGACACUAGAGAUAGUGUUUUCUCUUCGGAGACUGAGAGACAGGUGG
rnacentral:rRNA from 1 species